rnacentral:rRNA from 1 species
UGCCUGCCAGGUGACAACUUGUUUAACGGCCGCGGUAUUCUGACCGUGCUAAGGUAGCGUAAUCACUUGUCUUUUAAAUGAAGACCCGUAUGAAUGGCGAAACGAGGGCUUAACUGUCUCCUUCCCCAAGUCAAUGAAAUUGAUCUCCCCGUGCAGAAGCGGGGAUUAUAUCAUAAGACGAGAAGACCCUAUGGAGCUUUAGACAAAUGACCCAUAUUCCCUAAACCCCUGCCACGGGACUAAAUUUGAUGGGCCCUCUUUCAAUGUCUUCGGUUGGGGCGACCAUGGGGAAGAUAAAACCCCCACGUGGAAAGGGGCCAUAAACGCAUGACUACUACCCCUCAAGGCAGGGCGACAGCCCUACCUAGCAGAAAUUCUGACCAAUCUGAUCCGGGCUACCCGAUCAACGAACCAAGUUACCCUAGGGAUAACAGCGCAAUCCCCUUUUAGAGUCCAUAUCGACAAGGGGGUUUACGACCUCGAUGUUGGAUCAGGACAUCCUAAUGGUGCACCGCUAUUAAGG